CAAGUACUCCCUCCGUCCGAAAAUACUUGUCAUCAAAAUGGACAAAAAAGGAUGUAUCUAGAACUAAAAUACAUCUAGAUACAUCCCUUUUUAUUCAUUUUGAUGACAAGUAUUUUCGGACGGAGGGAGUAUAUG
rnacentral:pre_miRNA from 1 species